rnacentral:rRNA from 1 species
UUAAGCGACUAAGCGUACACGGUGGAUGCCCUGGCAGUCAGAGGCGAUGAAGGACGUGCUAAUCUGCGAAAAGCGUCGGUAAGGUGAUAUGAACCGUUAUAACCGGCGAUGUCCGAAUGGGGAAACCCAGUGCAAUUCGUUGCACUAUCGUUAACUGAAUACAUAGGUUAACGAGGCGAACCGGGGGAACUGAAACAUCUAAGUACCCCGAGGAAAAGAAAUCAACCGAGAUUCCCCCAGUAGCGGCGAGCGAACGGGGAGCAGCCCAGAGUCUGAAUCAGCUUGUGUGUUAGUGGAACGGUCUGGAAAGUCCGACGGUACAGGGUGAUAGUCCCGUACACCAAAAUGCACAGGCUGUGAACUCGAAGAGUAGGGCGGGACACGUGGUAUCCUGUCUGAAUAUGGGGGGACCAUCCUCCAAGGCUAAAUACUCCUGACUGACCGAUAGUGAACCAGUACCGUGAGGGAAAGGCGAAAAGAACCCCGGCGAGGGGAGUGAAAAAGAACCUGAAACCGUGUACGUACAAGCAGUGGGAGCACCUUCGGGUGUGACUGCGUACCUUUUGUAUAAUGGGUCAGCGACUUAUAUUCUGUAGCAAGGUUAACCGUAUAGGGGAGCCGCAGGGAAACCGAGUCUUAACUGGGCGUUAAGUUGCAGGGUAUAGACCCGAAACCCGGUGAUCUAGCCAUGGGCAGGUUGAAGGUUGGGUAACACUAACUGGAGGACCGAACCGACUAAUGUUGAAAAAUUAGCGGAUGACUUGUGGCUGGGGGUGAAAGGCCAAUCAAACCGGGAGAUAGCUGGUUCUCCCCGAAAGCUAUUUAGGUAGCGCCUCGUGAAUUCAUCUUCGGGGGUAGAGCACUGUUUCGGCUAGGGGGUCAUCCCGACUUACCAACCCGAUGCAAACUACGAAUACCGAAGAAUGUUAUCACGGGAGACACACGGCGGGUGCUAACGUCCGUCGUGAAGAGGGAAACAACCCAGACCGCCAGCUAAGGUCCCAAAGUCAUGGUUAAGUGGGAAACGAUGUGGGAAGGCACAGACAGCCAGGAUGUUGGCUUAGAAGCAGCCAUCAUUUAAAGAAAGCGUAAUAGCUCACUGGUCGAGUCGGCCUGCGCGGAAGAUGUAACGGGGCUAAACCAUGCACCGAAGCUGCGGCAGCGACACUAUGUGUUGUUGGGUAGGGGAGCGUUCUGUAAGCCUGCGAAGGUGNUGCUGGAGGUAUCAGAAGUGCGAAUGCUGACAUAAGUAACGAUAAAGCGGGUGAAAAGCCCGCUCGCCGGAAGACCAAGGGUUCCUGUCCAACGUUAAUCGGGGCAGGGUGAGUCGACCCCUAAGGCGAGGCCGAAAGGCGUAGUCGAUGGGAAACAGGUUAAUAUUCCUGUACUUGGUGUUACUGCGAAGGGGGGACGGAGAAGGCUAUGUUAGCCGGGCGACGGUUGUCCCGGUUUAAGCAUGUAGGCUGAUUGUCCAGGCAAAUCCGGAUAAUCAAGGCUGAGGUGUGAUGACGAGGCACUACGGUGCUGAAGUAACAAAUGCCCUGCUUCCAGGAAAAGCCUCUAAGCAUCAGGUAACAUCAAAUCGUACCCCAAACCGACACAGGUGGUCAGGUAGAGAAUACCAAGGCGCUUGAGAGAACUCGGGUGAAGGAACUAGGCAAAAUGGUGCCGUAACUUCGGGAGAAGGCACGCUGGUGUGUAGGUGAAGCCCCUGCGGGUGGAGCUGAGACCAGUCGAAGAUACCAGCUGGCUGCAACUGUUUAUUAAAAACACAGCACUGUGCAAACACGAAAGUGGACGUAUACGGUGUGACGCCUGCCCGGUGCCGGAAGGUUAAUUGAUGGGGUUAUCCGUAAGGAGAAGCUCUUGAUCGAAGCCCCGGUAAACGGCGGCCGUAACUAUAACGGUCCUAAGGUAGCGAAAUUCCUUGUCGGGUAAGUUCCGACCUGCACGAAUGGCGUAAUGAUGGCCAGGCUGUCUCCACCCGAGACUCAGUGAAAUUGAACUCGCUGUGAAGAUGCAGUGUACCCGCGGCAAGACGGAAAGACCCCGUGAACCUUUACUAUAGCUUGACACUGAACAUUGAGCCUUGAUGUGUAGGAUAGGUGGGAGGCUUUGAAGCGUGGACGCCAGUCUGCGUGGAGCCAACCUUGAAAUACCACCCUUUAAUGUUUGAUGUUCUAACGUUGGCCCCUUACCGGGGUUGCGGACAGUGUCUGGUGGGUAGUUUGACUGGGGCGGUCUCCUCCCAAAGCGUAACGGAGGAGCACGAAGGUUAGCUAAUCCUGGUCGGACAUCAGGAGGUUAGUGCAAUGGCAUAAGCUAGCUUGACUGCGAGCGUGACGGCGCGAGCAGGUGCGAAAGCAGGUCAUAGUGAUCCGGUGGUUCUGAAUGGAAGGGCCAUCGCUCAACGGAUAAAAGGUACUCCGGGGAUAACAGGCUGAUACCGCCCAAGAGUUCAUAUCGACGGCGGUGUUUGGCACCUCGAUGUCGGCUCAUCACAUCCUGGGGCUGAAGUAGGUCCCAAGGGUAUGGCUGUUCGCCAUUUAAAGUGGUACGCGAGCUGGGUUUAGAACGUCGUGAGACAGUUCGGUCCCUAUCUGCCGUGGGCGCUGGAGAAUUGAGGGGGGCUGCUCCUAGUACGAGAGGACCGGAGUGGACGCAUCACUGGUGUUCGGGUUGUCAUGCCAAUGGCACUGCCCGGUAGCUAAAUGCGGAAGAGAUAAGUGCUGAAAGCAUCUAAGCACGAAACUUGCCCCGAGAUGAGUUCUCCCUGAGACUUUAAGUCUCCUGAAGGAACGUUGAAGACGACGACGUUGAUAGGCCGGGUGUGUAAGCGCAGCGAUGCGUUGAGCUAACCGGUACUAAUGAACCGUGAGGCUUAACCUU